UACGGAGGGUGCAAGCGUUAUCCGGAUUCACUGGGUUUAAAGGGUGUGUAGGCGGGUAUUUAAGUCAGUGGUGAAAUCUCCAGGCUCAACCUGGAAACUGCCAUUGAUACUAUUUAUCUUGAAUAUCGUUGAGGUUGGCGGAAUAUAUCAUGUAGCGGUGAAAUGCAUAGAUAUGAUAUAGAACACCGAUUGCGAAGGCAGCUAACUAAACGAUGAUUGACGCUGAGGCACGAAAGCGUGGGGAUCAAACAGG
rnacentral:rRNA from 1 species